rnacentral:rRNA from 1 species
AGAUUGAACGCUAGCGGGAUGCUUUACACAUGCAAGUCGAACGGCAGCGCGGACUUCGGUCUGGCGGCGAGUGGCGAACGGGUGAGUAAUAUAUCGGAACGUGCCCAGUAGCGGGGGAUAACUACGCGAAAGCGUGGCUAAUACCGCAUACGCCCUACGGGGGAAAGAUUUAUCGCCUUUAGAGCGGCCCGCGUCUGAUUAGCUAGUUGGUGAGGUAAAGGCUCACCAAGGCUACGAUCAGUAGCUGGUCUGAGAGGAUGACCAGCCACAUUGGGACUGAGACACGGCCCAAACUCCUACGGGAGGCAGCAGUGGGGAAUCUUGCGCAAUGGGCGAAAGCCUGACGCAGCCAUGCCGCGUGAAUGAUGAAGGUCUUAGGAUUGUAAAAUUCUUUCAGUAGGACGAUAAUGACGGUACCUACAAGAAGAAGCCCCGGCUAACUUCGACGCCAGCAGCCGC